UGGAGCAUGUGCUGUAAUUCGAUGCAACGCGAAGAACCUUACCUGGGCUUGACAUGGGAGUGAAAUCCCGUAGAGAUACGAGACUUUCCUUCGGGAACACUCCACACAGGUGCUGCAUGGUCGUCGUCAGCUCGUGUCGUGAGAUGUUGGGUUAAGUCCCGCAACGAGCGCAACCCUCGCCAUUAGUUGCCAGCGGGUAAUGCCGGGAACUCUAGGGGGACUGUCUGGUACAACCAGGAGCAAGGUGGGGAUGACGUCAAAUCAUCAUGGCCAUUACGCCCAGGGCUAGACACGUGCUACAAUGGCUGGUACAACGGGCUGCAAGCUCGCGAGAGCAAGCCAAUCCCUAAAAACCAGCCUCAGUUCAGAUUGGAGUCUGCAAUUCGACUUCAUGAAGGUGGAAUCGCUAGUAAUCGCGGAUCAGCAUGCCGCGCUGAUACGUUCCCGGGCAUUGUACACACCGCCCGUCAAGCCACGAAAGAUGGUAGUACCCGAAGUCGCUACUCUUACCCGCAAGGGAGGAGGGCGCCGAAGGUAAGA
rnacentral:rRNA from 1 species